AGAAAAACAGGGACAUCAACCAGCAAAGAUGCAUCCUCAUUUAAUAGAGCUUGAAAUUACUAUAAUCUGUAAAGUACAGCGAGAAGAAGAAGUUUCACCUGCCUGCACAUCUGUCGUUGACUCUCCAUCUGACUUGGAGGGACUCUGAGGGACCAACCUGAGCCUGAGAAGAGGCAAGAUUCCCCUUCAAGGACACACUGGGAACUUACGGACCUCUUUCUCCAUGGUGCAGAGCGCAGAGGCUACCUGAGAAUAUCCAGAGACUACAGAGGUCAUCAAGUUGACGCAUCAAUGUUUACAUGUAGACAUCACCUUGUGACUCAACAGCAGCCAAUAAGAUGGAAAUAAAGGCCAUGAAGUUAUCGGAUGGCAUCUACAAGGAAUACUUAGAUGAGGAGGUGACUCUGGUAGCAAUUGUUCUUUUGUCUUUCUCACCUUCCUUCUUGUCCUGUCUGGGAUGCUGAAGUGAUGGCUGGUAUACAGAUGCCCUGUUGUGAUGUUGAGAUAAACAUGAGAAUAAAAGUCGGCGAUUACAGAUGGCAGAGAAGAGAGAGAAAGAUAGGAUGUAGGUGGAUAUUGACGGAACUAAGUUUCUAUUGCACAAGUUCUACCACCAACCUCUGGACUUCAUGAUAUGUGAGGGAGAAAUAAACUCCUAUUUUAGAAGAGAUCUAUGUUACCUGCAACUGAACGGAAUGCUUAAUUGGCACAUCCUAUGUGCUCCAAACCUUCCUUAAUUUCUGUGUGUAAGGCAUACUUAGUCUUUACCCAUUAUUCUGUUCACAUUCAUUCACUUGAUCAGCCUCCCAACUCUAUGGUAAAGAGUUUACUACAGUUUACUCUAUUAGUAAGGGAGAUUCUGGAGCAAGCCCCACAAAUCAUAGAUUGAAUACCCAUUCAUUAAGAGAGAGAUUUAAAGAUACUUCUAUCCAAACACAUUUUAAAUUUCCAGCACCUUUGAGGUGGUGGAGGUUCAUGGUGGUUGAUAGGGUUUAAAUGACUUGUGAUUCAAGCUCCAUAUUACAAUGUAACAGUGCAAAAGUUCAUUUUUUUAAAUUUAUUUUACUUUAAGUUCUGGUAUACAUGUGUAGAACAUGCGGGUUUGUUACAUAGGUAUACAUGUGCCAUGGUGGUUUGCUGCACCUAUCAAACCGUCACCUAGGUUUUAAGAACCACAUGCAUUAGGUAUUUGACCUAAUGCUCUCCCUCAUGUUGCCCCCCAACUCCCUGACAGGGCCCAGUGUGUGAUGUUCCCCUCCCUGUGUCCAUGUGUUCUCAUUGUUCAACUCCCACUUAUGAGUGAGAACAUGUGGUGUUUGAUUUUCUGUUCCUGUGUUAGUUUGCUGAGAAUGAUGGCUUCCAGCUUCAUCCAUGUCCCUGCAAAGGACACGAACUCAUUCUUUUUUAUGGCUUCAUAAUAUUCCAUGAGUCUGGAUUUGGUUACAGAUAGAGCUGGACAAGCCUUAGCUAUAUCUAAUGGCUUUUGACAUGUUAUAUCAAUUUCUUACUGCUUUUGUAAAUGAAUAUAUUAAGAAGAAAAAAUUACAAAUGACCCUUUCUUCACAAACUUUUAGGGUAAUCAAGUUCAGUUAUUAAAAAAUGGAUGUUUGCAACAUUCAUAGUAAUUAUUUUCAGAAAAUUAAAAAUGAUUAAAAAUUAUAUUUUCAUCCCAUUCAGAUAUUAUAUAUUUAACUGUGAGAUAAUUCUCAG
ensembl:lncRNA LINC00507 long intergenic non-protein coding RNA 507